rnacentral:rRNA from 1 species
CAAUCCGUUAGUAAAGUGGCGUACGGGUGAGUAACACGUGGAUCAUCUGCCCUAGAGUGGGGAAUAACGAGGGGAAACCUUCGCUAAUACCGCAUAAUCCCGAGAGGGGAAAGCCGAAAGGCGCUCAAGGAGGAGUCCGCGGUCGAUUAGCUAGUUGGUAGGGUAAUGGCCUACCAAGGCUACGAUCGAUAGCCGGCCUGAGAGGGCACACGGCCACACUGGCACUGAAACACGGGCCAG